rnacentral:rRNA from 1 species
UACGGAGGAUGCAAGCGUUAUCCGGAAUGAUUGGGCGUAAAGCGUCCGCAGGUGGCAAUGUAAGUCUGCUGUUAAAGAGUCUAGCUCAACUAGAUAAAAGCAGUGGAAACUACAUAGCUAGAGUACGUUCGGGGCAGAGGGAAUUCCUGGUGUAGCGGUGAAAUGCGUAGAGCUCGGGAAGAACAUCGGUGGCGAAAGCGCUCUACUGGACGACAACUGACACUCAGGGACGAAAGCUAGGGGAGCGAAUGGG